ACACAAAAACCUAUUUGUUUUUGCUUUCCGCGCUACCUACAGAGGGGCCCAUACGGCGUUGUUCUGGAUUCCCGUCGUAACUUAAAGGGAAACUUUCACAAUGUCCGGAGCCCUUGAUGUCCUGCAAAUGAAGGAGGAGGAUGUCCUUAAGUUCCUUGCAGCAGGAACCCACUUAGGUGGCACCAAUCUUGACUUCCAGAUGGAACAGUACAUCUGUAAAAGGAAAAGUAAUGGCAUCUAUAUCAUAAAUCUGAAGAGGACCUGGGAGAAGCUUCUGCUGGCAGCUAGUGCUAUUGUUGCCAUUGAAAACCCUGCUGAUGUCAGUGUUAUAUCCUCCAGGAAUACUGGCCAGAGGGCUGUGCUGAAGUUUGCUGCUGCCACUGGAGCCACUCCAAUUGCUGGCCACUUCACUCCUGGAACCUUCACUAACCAGAUCCAGGCAGCCUUCCGGGAGCCAUGGCUUCUUGUGGUUACUGACCCCAGGGCUGACCACCAGCCUCUCACGGAGGCAUCUUAUGUUAACCUACCUACCAUUGCUCUGUGUAACACAGAUUCUCCUAUGCGCUAUGUGGACAUUGCCAUCCCAUGCAACAACAAGGGAGCUCACUCAGUGGGUUUGAUGUGGUAGAUGCUGGCUCGGGAAGUUCUGCGCAUGUGUAGCACGAUUUCCUAUGACCACCCGUGGGAGGUCAUGCCUGAUCUCUACUUCUACAGAGAUCCUGAAGAUAUUGAAAAAGAAGAGCAGGCUGCUGCUGAAAAGGCAGUGACCAAGGAGGAAUUUCAGGGUGAAUGGACUGCUCCAGCUCCUGAGUUCACUGCUACUCAGCCUGAGGUUGCAGACUGGUCUGAAGGUGUACAGGUGCCCUCUGUGCCUAUUCAGCAGUUCCCUACUGAAGACUGGAGCGCUCAGCCUGCCACGGAAGACUGGUCUGCAGCUCCCACUGCUCAGGCCACUGAAUGGGUAGGAGCAACCACUGACUGGUCUUAAGCUGUUCUUGCAUAGGCUCUUAAGCAACAUGGAAAAAUGGUUGAUGGAAAAUAAACAUCAGUUUCUUAAAAAAAAAAAAACCUAUUUGUUUUUACCCCAAUCCAUUUUUACCCCUACUCCCACUGAAUGCAAAUGGAAUGGAUGAAUGGAUGUUUUAUUUCUAUUUUAUUUUAUUUUUAUUUUGUUUCACAUGGAUGUUUAUAGCAGCUUUAUUCAGAAUUGCCAAAACGUGGAAGCAACUGAGAUGUCCUUCAAUAGGUGGGAUAAACAAGCUGUUGUAUAUCCAUAUAAUGCCAUACUAUUCUGUGCUAAAAAGAAAUGAGCUAUCAAGCCACAAAAAGACCUAGAGGAAACUUAACUGCAUAUUACUAAGUGAAAGAAGCCAGUCUGAAAAGGCUACAUAACACAUGAUUCCAAUUAUAUUACAUUCUGAAUAAAACUAUGGAGACAGU